UACGUAGGGUGCAAGCGUCGUCCGGAAUUAUUGGGCGUAAAGAGCUCGUAGGUGGUUUGUCGCGUUGUUCGUGAAAACUCACAACUCAAUUGUGGGCGUGCGGGCGAUACGGGCAGACUGGAGUACUGCAGGGGAGACUGGAAUUCCUGGUGUAGCGGUGGAAUGCGCAGAUAUCAGGAGGAACACCGGUGGCGAAGGCGGGUCUCUGGGCAGUAACUGACGCUGAGGAGCGAAAGCGUGGGGAGCGAACAGG
rnacentral:rRNA from 1 species